UACGAACUGUGCGAACGUUAUUCGGAAUUACUGGGUAUAAAGGGUGCGCAGGCGGGCUUGUGCGUCAAGGGUUAAAGACCUCGGCUCAACCGAGGGAGUGCCCUUGAAACGGCAAGUCUUGAGUGUGAGAGAGGAUGGUAGAAUUCCUGGUGUAGCGGUGAAAUGCGUAGAUAUCAGGAGGAAUACCAGUAGCGAAGGCGGCCAUCUGGCUCAUUACUGACGCUCAUGCACGAAAGCGUGGGGAGCAAACAGG
rnacentral:rRNA from 1 species